CAGUAGCCACGGGAAUACCGAGGGUGCAAGCGUUAAUCGGAAUUACUGGGCGUAAAGCGCGCGUAGGUGGUUUGUUAAGUUGGAUGUGAAAUCCCCGGGCUCAACCUGGGAACUGCAUCCAAAACUGGCAAGCUAGAGUAUGGUAGAGGGUGGUGGAAUUUCCUGUGUAGCGGUGAAAUGCGUAGAUAUAGGAAGGAACACCAGUGGCGAAGGCGACCACCUGGACUGAUACUGACACUGAGGUGCGAAAGCGUGGGGAGCAAACAGGAUUAGAUACCCCGGUAGUCCCUGUCUCUUAUAC
rnacentral:rRNA from 1 species